CAUCAGCCAACAUAGAGAAACAAAACGUGAGGGAGAGAAAUAGAGAGGCAGCCAUGGUUCUUGAAGUUUAAAGGUUUACAUGUAUCUGCUCGAAAAAUGGUGAUGAAGCGUAGAGGAGGUACUGCUCAGAUUUGGUUUUGGAAAUUCUACACGGACAGCUGUUCGGAAGACGACGAGACGAGCAGGAUGAAGGGUAGCUCCCAAAAGGUAUAGAUACAGAUUUUGGGAGUCCGUCAGCUUAGGAUUCCAUGCAGCUCAGUUGGAAGAGGCUCCAUUGUGUCGGGGCCUAGUUUUGUGAUACUAUCCACGGAUGUAUAAAAAUUAUUUCAUCCAUUCAGGGGUAUGGCGGGGGCCCUGUCCCUCCAUAUGUUGUCAUUUAUAUGUUUAGAGGUCUGCAGACAUGUAUAUGUGGGUUGUGUAUGUCAGUUUGAUUCAGCUGGGUCUACAUGAUAUAUGAUAUAUGUUAUUAUGUUACGGCAGCCUUGUCGGCUUGCAUUCCCUGUCAUGUUGUGAUACAAACGAAAAGGGCUGCAGUUUAUGAAAAUGUUAUC